rnacentral:rRNA from 1 species
AGUGAACGCUGGCGGUAGGCCUAACACAUGCAAGUCGAACGGCAGCACAGUAAGAGCUUGCUCUUACGGGUGGCGAGUGGCGGACGGGUGAGGAAUACAUCGGAAUCUACUUUUUCGUGGGGGAUAACGUAGGGAAACUUACGCUAAUACCGCAUACGACCUACGGGUGAAAGCAGGGGAUCUUCGGACCUUGCGCGAUUGAAUGAGCCGAUGACGGAUUGGCUAGUUGGCGGGGUAAAGGCCCACCAAGGCGACGAUCCGUAGCUGGUCUGAGAGGAUGAUCAGCGACACUGGAACUGAGACACGGUCCAGACUCCUACGGGAGGCAGCAGUGGGGAAUAUUGGACAAUGGGCGCAAGCCUGAUCCAGCCAUACCGCGUGGGUGAAGAAGGCCUUCGGGUUGUAAAGCCCUUUUGUUGGGAAAGAAAAGCAGCAGGUUAAUACCCCGCUGUUCUGACGGUACCCAAAGAAUAAGCACCGGCUAACUUCGUG